UGCUUGACACACAGUCUGAUGGGUAAG
rnacentral:piRNA from 1 species